GGGCAACAGAGCUGUCUCCAAAAAAUAAAAAAAACAGUAUAGGGCCAGUAGAGCUGAAUUAACCAGUGCCCCAACUUGGUUUUAACCACCUUCUUUUAAUCAGCACAUUCUUGUAUAGAAAACCUCCCCCUACACCAUCAUGCAGUGAGCAGUGUUCUACAUAGUCAGGAUUGAAAAAGUCUCUCUGCCUUCAAGAAGUUCAGAAGAGCGGGUGAUUCACAAAUGACUCAGCGUUGCAUUCACAUAUGGGUAAGAACAGAUGACACA